UAAAAUGAGAGCGAGAGAAUUGGGUGAGCGAUUCCGAAGAGCGAAGAUGGUCGAUUCGUCGGCCACUGUAUUAAUAUUGAGGACUGGGUGUGUUGAUUUCUCGGUUCGUUCCGUCAUUCACUGUGCCGCCGCCGUCGUCGUUGCUGCGUUUAAGCCUUGUUAUUAUUGGCUGGUGAGAUCAUACACCUUUUUCUGUCUGGAGCAUUUUGAACCACACCAGAGGACACAUCGAAUAGAAGUGCUACUCCGGAUCUACCACUGAGUGCGUUCUGGGUCCAUUAGCCAUCUACGAACUCUUCACGUCUGUUGGAAUUGGAUUAAAUGCAAAGCCAUCAUCGAAUUUAACACAUCGGAACGCAAAUUGAAAUACCAUUUAAGGUAAUACAACCCGGUGACCUAGCUCGUUGGCCUAAAUUGACAACGCGAGUGCAAUCUGCUGCUUUUCUGGCGCUGCUGGAAAGUCUGUCCUAGUUAUGGGUGAAAUGCAAGCUUGCAAUAUUGCUGGUGCUGUUCGGUGAUAUAUUUCAGGAAGAAAAUUAACCAUCGAGAAUAUAUAUAUACGUAUGUGCAAAUGUGAAUUGCUGAGCUUCACAUUUUGUACCACGGAACGACUGCUUAAUAGAGAUAUGUGAUUUUCAUUAUUUGCUCGCCUGUCUGUGUUUGCAUCGGCUUUUGCGUUCAUGGUAUUCCUGCUUGCUUGUGGUGCGGAUGGUAUUCUAAUUUUGGUGCUAAAGAGAAGAAUUCAAUCACAUCUCCAAUCAUAGUAGGCCGAAUGUGCACAAAGGUUUUAGUCAUAACUUCACAUGAAUAUUCACCGAAUGCUAGGAAUAAGUGAAACCCCGAGCAGGCUUUGAGUGAGAGAAGUUGGCGCUUUAGAGUUGGGCGAAGCAAGAAAAGAAGUUCGAACGAAAAGUAGGAAAGUGUAGAAUUUUAUUUUUGGAAAUCGUCAUUAGUGGUAUAGUGGAUACUGUGUGUCACAUAUGUGUGCGGUAUCAUCCAACUCGGUUCGAGGCGUGUAUUAAAAAUACCACAGCUUGCUUUGGUACAGUACAUGCCAUAGGCUACUAAAAGUGUGAACCGAGAGUAAGUCUCGUUACUUCAAGGAAACGUGAAAAUAGCCAACUCAAAGAAUAGUAGCAGCAGCAGCAGAAGAUUUGUGUGAAAAUUCGUCAAGAGAUUUUAUGUAAUACGAUAACAGUGCUCGUGGCGUGGCUUUAAAAACGCACAGUGACGAAAUUCGAAUUGUUCACGUUUAAAAGCAAUUUUACUUUAUGCUCGUGCAGCUUGUGGUUAAGCUGAAGGUAGACAACGUAAUAUAUUCAACAUUAUUGAACACGAACGACGGCGGCGAAGUUUCCACACAAUUGGAGUCACACAGAGCUUCACCGUUGCAUGAUUCGCAAAUCAUGCGUAGAAUACACAAAGCAUGUAAAAAUUAAGGAAUUAAUUACGACUGUGAAGGAGUUUGCUUCCAUUUCAUUGGAUAAUCGAUCAGAGUGAGUUGAGCAGAACACCAAACCAAACUCCAUCAACCAUCGUCACCUUAGCGUGUAACGAGACUUCCCAGUAGCCAAACAGCAUACCCUACGCAGAGAUGGUGAUAGGAGAAGCGACGAACAAUGGGGAGGCUGUGCCUCCCCCGCAGCAGUUCGCUCCUCAGAAGGCAACCAUUGAGAAUAUAAUGAGCGGAAUUGAAAAUACCGGUACGGUGAAAAUGAAUAAUCACAGGAAAAAACUGAGACAACGAUUUGAUAUAAUUAAAAAGCUCGGCCAGGGUACGUACGGCAAGGUGCAAUUAGGUAUUAAUAAGGAAACCGGCCAAGAGGUCGCCAUUAAAACCAUCAAAAAGAGCAAAAUCGAAACCGAAGCGGACCUAAUUCGGAUACGAAGGGAAGUGCAAAUUAUGAGCUCGGUGCAGCACCCCAACAUUAUACAUAUUUACGAAGUCUUCGAAAACCGCGAAAAGAUGGUCCUAGUGAUGGAAUUCGCUGCUGGUGGCGAACUGUACGACUAUCUGUCGGAGCGCAAAGUGCUCUCAGAGGAGGAAGCGCGACGAAUCUUUCGCCAGGUCGCGACCGCCAUCUACUACUGUCACAAGCACAAAAUCUGUCAUCGUGAUCUUAAGUUAGAAAACAUACUCCUGGAUGAGAAUGGCCACGCCAAAAUUGCUGACUUUGGCCUCUCCAACGUAUUUGAUGAGCAAAGACUGCUGGCAACGUUCUGCGGGUCCCCGCUGUACGCGUCGCCGGAAAUUGUUAAAGGUACACCCUAUCUAGGACCAGAAGUAGAUUGCUGGUCCCUGGGUGUGUUGUUGUAUACUCUAGUCUACGGUGCAAUGCCAUUUGAUGGUGCCAACUUUAAAAGGCUUGUGAAGCAAAUUAGUCAAGGUGAUUACUUCGAACCGAAAAAGCCAUCGCGGGCGUCUCCGUUGAUUCGGGAAAUGUUGACUGUUUGUCCACAACGGAGAGCGAAUAUAGAGCAAAUAUGUAAUCACUGGUGGGUAAACGAGGGCUACGAAGGGUCAUGUCUAGAUCUAGCAGAAGAACUAGCGAACCAAACGCCUGUGCGGUUAGACGUGCUGCUUUCGCUCGCUCCACCAUCCGUUACUUCCGACCAAGUUGUUGUGGGGAGUGGUCAAGACGACGCUAAACCAAAGGAAAGAAUACAACGAAGUCACUCCGUUGGUUCUAUCAUUGACAUUGGUGCCACUGAAGCUGAACGACGAAUAUUGGACAUGGUGGCAGCCGGUGGUGAAGCUGCGCUAAUGCCUUCUCCAACCCGCACCAUUACACCCUCAGAGAGUAGUCCUGCACAGCCCAAACGGAAACUUGAACCAACUGUAUCUACUGAAAAUGCAACUGGAGCCGUUAAGAAAAAAGAAAAGGCUUCUGAUAGACUCAAACCAGAUAAAUCUCAACCUGUGAUUCCUGAAGAUAUGGACGUUGAACUGUCACCAUCACGCCCAAGCUCAACCUCUGAAAUUGAGACACUUAAAUCCGGAGUGGAAACUCCCGACCAAGAGUCCACUCCGAGCACGCCGAUCGCAGCUCAGGAUGUUCUUGAAGAUUUGCAAAAUCUUGAGAAUAUGUGCGAUGAACUACUGCAAGAAACUGCCACUCCACCUACUUCUAAAGCAACCACACCAGAGGAUACUCCAACGGCAGUCAACGAUGCUCAACCAGCUACCCCACCGACGCCAAAGGUCGAAUCGCCUCCUAAAACAGUUUCCGGCGUCAAAGCCAGACUGGAGAAACUCGAAAAGGCUGAUAAACAACCCGAAAAGGUUCCAUAUAAAAAAGUAUUUAGUAAAAACAAAACCGUUGAUCUUACCUCGGCAAUAAAUCAAGUAUCGAAGCAGGAUCAAGAAUUCGCUCAAGUCAAAUCGGCUUCCAACUUGGAACGCAAAAACAGUCUUCCAGAAGAAAACCUUGCCAAACCGGCUGAGCGACGAAAGUCGCGCAUUUUGGAAACCGCUGAGAAAUUCCAAAAUAUGAACAAUCAAAACAAUGACAAGUUCAAGAAGUUCUCCCUUCCUGGAACGCCGACCGUCGGAAACUACAAAAAGGAAUUUGAGCGAAAGGCUUCCAUGAACAAUUCUGCUUCCUCAUUCAGGCCAUCUCCCUAUGAGAUGACAAAAAUGAUGGAAUCGGAGUUGAAUUCUCCAGACCAAAGUCGCCAGAGCAGCGGAGCGGAUCUACGCACUCCACUUUCGCCUAGUGAUGAAAAGAUUGGCACACGUGAUGCCAAGCUGGAGUCGGAAGAAGUCAAAGAGAGUGAUUCUAAAAGCUCUGUCAGUAGCUUCUCACUUGAAGAGGCCAGGCGAUCCAUGGAAAAUUCGAUCGCCCUUCUUAGCAAAGUGCGCCCCGAAGCCAACGCGGUCGAUCAAUUGUGUGCCAAGACGGAAACGGUUUCCGUUUCCGAUAAUAACGAGAGGGAACAAAAACUGAAGAAUGCCAGGGAAAUCAUUGGUAACGCGAUUCCCAUUGGACGAUUGCGGAAACCACCGAUGCCAUUCGGGGCCAACGGGCGUUCAUCUACAGGAGGAAUUGGGCUUACUAACUCUCAGUCUAGUAAACAGUUCCGCUUUGGGCCGGAUACUCCGGAGCCCAAGUUUGACACCAUGUCAGUGCCUAGAAAAGUGUCGGCUGGAAACAUCUCUUCGGCGCCGAUGGAUGAGACUAAAACAUCACACGCUGAAAUCACGCUCAAGUCUGCAACGCUACCGAGGAGGAAAAUCGGCAAAGUCGACAUCCAUGGAGAAACGCAACCAAAGGCUGAAUCAUCGAUACCGGCAGCGCAACCGUCGUCUAUGCGAUUCUCCACCGAGAUGCAACAUCAAAUACCGGACCUUCGCAGUGCACCGAUUCGAGAGCAUCCGAUUUCAUUUACCGUGCAUCAGCGUGCCAACAGCCUUGAACCGCAGGUCAAGGAGCACACCAUCGCAAUACAGAGGCCACCCACAUACCAGCGCACCACUUCGAAUGCAUUUGGCUCAUCGCGAGGCUCUCUUUCCCGUCAGUCCACCAACGAGUCGAACGAUUCGGACACGACAGCAUCCCAGAGCCAAAUUCCGCCUCUGCCAAACAGUGGAUCUACGAUGCCCAUCAAAAAGAGUCCACGCGAGUUUAUAAUUCCCAUAGCAGUGGAAGGCGGUGGAUUCAUUCAGCCACGUGCCAACAGCCUGGAGCCAUCGGAAUCGAGCACAACGACCACCUCUACAGGGUUAGGUUCGAGGGCACGACUGGGACGAACACGCAAGAUUGGCUCCCUUCUGAGCGAAAAAGAUCCUGAGGAAGAAUCAUCAUUCUCAAGACUCAAUCGCCAUACAUCGUUGGGACGUGAAAGUGACUCCGAAGAGCCGCGUUUCCAUACAAUGCACAGGCUGAGGAGCUCCCGUCCGUCCCAACGCAGUACGGUGGAACCUAACGAUUCGGCCAGCUCCGGGGAGGAAGACGACGACGAUGGCUUUGAAAUCUUGACCGCCGAAAAUCUUUUCUCCACAUUGCUAUCCAGGGUUCGUGCACUUACAAAUCGGCUCAACGUUAAUGAACCGAGUUCUACCGGUUUUCCUUCGUCUCGCUUCAUGAGCGGCCUGAGACAAACGCAGCCCUCCUUCUGGCACCAUCAUGAUCCAUUUUCGAGUCGACUGAACGGAGGAAAUUCCAACGCCUGGCGGCACAGCAUGACUCGUGAUCUCAGCUCGGACAUCGAUUCCCUGUUCUCGCGCUCGGGCGCGACCCUUCCCAGAGGAGCUAAAUACCGAUCACAGUACAAUAAUAACAACAAUUUUGAUGUAGCUCAUAACAAAUCCGAUGGUUUGAGUCGCAAUAACAAUAGCAACAAUAAUAAUCUGUCAUCCGUAAUACCAUCGUCCUUUAGAAACAGUAGCAGCAGUAGAAAUGACUUAUAUCAAAAUAGUUACGGAAUCAGUAACAAUAGCAAUAUGAUUAACAAUAACUGUUCUAACUUUGAUAAGCAAAGCAAUACGGAGACACUGUACGAAAAUGGCGAAGAAGUACUAGAUUUGGGCGAUCUGGAUUUGUCGCAACUAAGAUUGUCGAAGAAAGACCUCGAGGCCCUGUCUAGUAUCACACCUUCGUUAUCGCAACGCGUACAGGAGCAACUCUUUGCUCAGCUUCCGCCACAGCAAGCCAAGAAGCUUUCCAGAACUUUAUCAAUGCAAAACGGAAAUACUAUGUCGAACCCUUAUUCAACUACUACCAAAUUAUAUAAACGCAGUUCAAGCAGCAGCGCAGGACGCACUGAAGAAGAUUCUAGAGACAGUAUUACACCCACUAAUGAUAUGUUCGACAGUGAUGCCUACCUUCAGAAACGGUCGUCGAAGAAGCUAGAUCGAAGCUCACGCAGUUCCAGUAACUCCCGAGACAUCGUAUCUCCUCCUCCACUUCCUCCACCUAACUUCAUUGACGAUUACGGGACAUCCUCAUCAUCUCGUUUCCCAUAUGCAAACGAGAGUCAUGAACGAAUCCGAUCAUACGAGAAGUACACACCCUAUGGAACGAACGCACAAACCGAUUCGGAACACGAAAGAAGUAAAUCGCUUGAAUAUGACAAGAAGUUCAGCUGCUACGAACCACUCCCUCCGCGCACAUCAUGUCUAAGCCCGACAACCGAGGGCUAUGGGCGACCGCCCAUCGGUUGCAUUUCUCCCCCUCCCAUAUCUGCGUCCUCUGGAUACUCCAGUCAACGAUCAACAAGACGGAUUUCCAGAUUUCUGCGUCCGGACUUUUUUGAUCCACCAAAAGAAUCCAGCGACCAGGAGAAGCUCAAGAAAGAACAAGAAACCCAAAAUAUAUUGAGAGAAAUACGAGAAAAAAGCCGUGAAAGAAGUAUAGAUUGUAGCUUCACUCCAGAAUAUUCGGAUAAAGGAUCCGAUCGAUUAAAUUACUUCAUACAGAAAUAUCACAAAGACCACACUACGGAGAAUAGCAGGCACAAUAGUAACGAACGAAACGAAGUUUUGGACCAAUCCAGAGACAUUAAUGAACAACGAAAUCGAAGAAGUUUAUCCAGACCACGAGAAAUUAUUGAUUCUAGUAAUGUUGUUUUAGAUAAAAUUACUGAAAAUACUACAUUCGCAGACAAAAUAAUCGACGAACUACAAAAUAUGGCCGCAAUACAGACUGUUCUGAAUGCGACUCAGGAAGUAGCACCAAGGAGAAGCAAAAGCAGAGAGCUGAUUGCGGACAGCGUUGCUCUACCAGAGAUCAUCAAACGAGCAACCCCAGAGCGCAGUUCAACUACCAACUGUUCCGAGUGUAGCGUCAGUCCUCCGAAGUUGGAAAAUGAAGACAGUUCGAUAACCGAAAGUAUUCCUGUUGCUGAUGAGCCAGUUACCGACCCUAUUACCACUCCUAAAGUUGUCAAGAUAAAAAAGGUUAAAACGAGACCGAAACUAGAUGCCGAUGGCAACCCGGUGACAAUAACUGUAAGAAGAGUGAGGAGAGUGAAUAAAGCUACUGGUGAAGUGAUAUCUACAACGUUAGUAGAUGAUGUUCGCGAUGAUGACAAAACACCAACUGAGAAAACACGAGUUGUGAAAAAGGAAUCCAAGUUGAUUAGACCAAAAUCCUACCCAUCCAAAGAUCCGGAACCGCAGAGCUCAACAAAACCACUCGUGAACGAUUCAGGGCCGUCGGACCUUGCGAUAGCAAUCCCAUCAAAUGAAUCUGACCCAUCAGCUUGCAGUACCCCAUCCAACACAGUCUCCGUCGUAGCACCAGUUAGUAAAAUAGCUCGACCAAAAAGUUUCCCAUCAUCGAAAUUAACCCCACCAAAAGAGAUAAAGCUUGGUAAGAAUUCUAUCGAAGCUCAACCGUUAAGAGCCAUUUCGGAGAAUCCCGAGCCUAGCAAGGACUACUCGUCGUCACAAGUUGCAUCCAAGGAGAAGACACCUCCAAAAGCAGCCACUGUUAAUGGUUCAGUUACAAAUGAAAGCACUACUCCUGCGACGACUCCAGGAACAACCAAGAAGGUGCGCAAAGUUAUUCGAAUUGUUAAGAAAUCAACAGUAUCGAAAAGUGACUCGUCCACUAAAAGCAGUAGCGAAGAGAAAGCAAUCAAAGAGCCAACAAUCACCAAGACCAUUGCUGCUGAAAGCAAAGAAACAAAAGAGGUUAAAGUUAAACGGGUAGAAAUAGUAUCCCCCGAGCCGAUUCAAAAGGUACCGAAGGAAAAAUCAAAAUCUCCCGAGAAGAAAGUUAAACAAGGAUUCCUCGCCAGUAUUGGGCAGAAAUUCGAGAAAUUCAGAGAAUCCAGCAAAAUGACAAAGGAGAAGAAACCCACGAUUUCAGAAGACAAAGAUAAUGUAUUGGCUAAAAAUGUAAGUCAAGAAGAUGCUGAUCCAACAGUGGAAACGAACAAUAAAGAAAAGAAGAAGAGUCGAAGUGUCACAAAUGCAGCGUAUCUUCCUGACGAUGCCCCAGUUAGUGAGGAGAAGAGUUCACGAAAAUCUAGAAUAGAUAAGGUGAUCAGGAAUCUAAGGGAAUUAUCAGUGCCACGGGCGCCUUUAUUGACCGAAUCGAAUCUGGUCAAGCGUGCCGUCAGCGUGGAAGAAAUGCCUGGAACAUUCAACAAGUGCAGCGUUAACAAGGUAUUAGGAUUUUUUAAGAAAGUUGAGAAGGAUAGCAAAACUAAUCGAGUUCUAAAUACAAAGUCGUCUAGUCACAUCAGCACAAUGGAUACCGCCGACACCUUGAGUGCCCUGGAAUCAGUCAUUGCGAAGCGGGAUAGUCUAAUGACGUCAGUGGAGGAACAAACAAAAGAGAGACCGAAGUCUGGAAGUUUCGUUAGCAAAAUUCAGAAACCGUACAUUGGAGCGCGAAGCGAUACUGUGCUCACUAUGACGGAGCAAGAGUGUAAGUCCAAUACUAUGGUGCCGGUAAAACAGAACGGUGGCUACCAAACGAAUAUCCCUGUUAAGUAUAAUUGUCCAGACUGUAACAAAGAAGACUUUAACAAAGAUGUAUCAAAACGACAUUCCUCCGCUUUGACUGAUGCGAAAAAUCACUCACAGAUCGAGAAAGAACGCACCAGGAAUAGCCGCCGAGCGCUGACACUGGACUUUGGCAAGCUCGGCGAAAGCCGUCAUGUUCAAAGCAAUAACAACAACUACAGUUAUCCACCCCCAUUACCCAGUGAUGUUCUGCAAAACAGCAAUCAUGUUACCACCACAAACAACAACAACACUAUGAAUAUGAACAUGCUUACACCAUCAUACGACAGCAUCACCAAUUACUCUUCGGGAUCGAGAAGUAGUCCAUACGACGAUUGCAACUCUUCCAGCACAUUCAUGUCUCCAUCUGAAGAACACGAACUCUACUUUGAUAACUGGUCGGUCUGUUCGGAUGACCACAACAACACGCUUAGCGCUUCGCCAUCCGUAUCGCGAUUGUCGAGGCUAACAUAUGUGAACUCUGUCUCUCCGGUAGAUAACGAUUCUGAGAGUGUUAUUGAACGGAUACGUCGGAAAAGUUUCUACACCCGUUUCAAUGAGCAAAAACCUCGCCGAGUAAGCACUAUUCUAGCGCCGAGCAGCUCUAAGGAGUACUACCGCGAUCAGUCUCUUUCCAGAGGUGGCCCAUCGUCCACUCGUUUGAAAGAGUAUGGUAAGUCAUCGUCGUCAUCAGUUGGGAGCGCUUUGACAAGUGUCGAGCGUUCCAAGAACAACUACGACUACUACCACUCGCUUACCAGGACGCCGAGUUCUUCCAAGAACAAGUAUGCGGACUCUACCGACGAGUAUUCAAAAUCUUCGUUAAACAACAGUGACUACUAUCAUCAUCAUCACCACCAUCACCACUGCCAUCUUCCUUUGUCUAACUCGUCACGGAAACUCAAUUUUUCCAGUAACGACUCUUCCGAUAACCUGAAUUAUAACACUGUCGGUAAAUCCUCAUUAAGAAGUACAUACUACGAAACCUCGUCACCACCAUAUUAUGCCACAUACAAUCCUCGACGGCGCUCCUCGUUCACCAGCAAUAGCACAACAGCUAAUCUAACCUCGUCCUCUUCAUCGAUAGCAUUAGACACUGCCAAUACCGGGAAAGAAACACGCGAUACUGUGCAGAAGACCGCAUCAAUGGUAACACCGGCCGGGCUACCCUGUAGUGGUACGGCAACCAAUUCUUCAUCUUCUACCACAAUCUCGACAUCGGCAGGCUUACCCAGCCAUGGGAGCAGCAGUUCACGGAAACUAAGACCCUACGAUAACCGGAGCAUUUCUAUGCUUAAUUCUGCCUCCUUUAAGGAGUCGCGACACGGCGGUUACGACAGUGCAGGGAUUAUCAGAAACAUAUCUUCUUUCUUGAAACGCUUGUUUGGGUCCAAAAUCAAAACCAGUGAAAACCGCUUUAGCCCCGUCCGUUCCACUCUCUACAAGGACCAACUCCUUUGCUUAAAGCUCAAAAGCAAUUAACAGUGCCAAUUGCUUAAUCCCUCCUUCAAACCGCCGACCCGAUCACAACCUAACGUCAAGAAAUGGUCGUUUCAGAAACUCGUCAAUACCUCGGAACCCCACCAACAACGUAUGAUUGUCAGUGAACGAUGACUGCGAUAUUUACCAAUAUUUCUAGCGAUUGCCCAUUUGAAGCCCAAAUCAGAAGCAAUCCGUAUAUGUAACUAGGUGUAAAAAAAUGUUUAAAAAACCAAAACCAUAAUUAUAGGGACUAGCAUUUUAAUGUUUAAAAAUAGUAGUCGAGUUACUUUCCAACGCCAAAAAUGGACGCAGAAGAUCAAUGAAUGAAACCAUCAAGCUUAUGAAGAGAGAGAUGAACAAGACAGAAUGGAUUUUGUACAUUUAUUUUAUCUUUUAAAUGAUUGAGAACGAAUCCCAUUUUAGAAGAAAAAACUAUUGCGUCUGUAUAGAGAAAGAAAUUAUUUUGCAUCAAAUUAUUGAAAGAGUACAUCGAGCGUUGAAAAAAAAACAAUAAAUUGUCAUCCAUGUUUAAACAAUUGUUUAAUUC